rnacentral:misc_RNA from 1 species
GAUGAAGAACGUAGCGAAAUGCGAUACGUAAUGUGAAUUGCAGAAUUCAGUGAAUCAUCGAAUCUUUGAACGCAUAUUGCGCUCUCUGGUAUUCCGGAGAGCAUGCUUGUUUGAGUAUCAGUAAACACCUCAACUCUUUUUUCUUUUUUGAAAUUGGAGCUGGACUUGAGUGAUCCCAACGCUUCCUUCCAAGAAAGUGGCGGGUUGCUUGAAAUGCAGGUGCAGCUGAACUUUUCUCUGAGCUAUAAGCAUAUCUAUUUAGUCUGCCUAAAAAACAGAUUAUUACCUUUGCUGCAGCUAACAUAAAGGAGACUAGUUCUUGUGCUGACUGAUGCAGGAUUCACAGAGACAGCUUCGGCUGACUUUGUAAACUCGAUCUCAAAUCAAGUAAGACUACCCGCUGAACUUAAGCAUAUCAAUAAGCGGAGGA